rnacentral:lncRNA from 1 species
GAUAAGAUCCUUCAGAUAACAAUUCUUGGUGUUGAAGUUCACAAGUGUUAGGAGUUUUCUCAAAGUACCCAACUUCAACUUAGUUCUGCUUUUACAUCUGCGAGGGAGAUAUAAAUGUCUUAGUUGCUCCAUCCUCCAUAUCACAUUAGGUACAUGAAUUCUUAGAUUUCUAACUCUUAAAUCCAAGGUUUGCAAGCACCUUAAGUUGCCUAGAGAUGAUGGCAACUUUGACCAUUCGAAGUGAAAAUUCCUUAGACUCAAGAAUCUUAAAUGGAUGAGAUACCUAUAUCACUAGGUAGCUUCCACCCUGCAAAAUUAUAAUAUCCUGUCUCAUAGUUUAGGACUCUUAGCAAUUUGAAGUUGUUGAACAUGUAUCUCCAAAUUCCCCGAAUUUUAAGAAGUUUUGUAGAAUCUUUCGAAAUCUCAAGAAUACAAAAUAGUGGAUUACAACAAUCUUCUUCAUGUUUUUCAACGUAAUUCAACACUUCCAAGGGCAUAGAUUUUUCAAAUGCCUCCUUCGGAAAGAACCCAUUGAAGAACAAAAGUGACCGAAUAUUUGGACUUUUAAUGCAUUGUAUGAAAAAAAACUCAUGCACAGAAACCCUACUAACCUUCCGAAUCAUAGAUAAUGAAGAUGCAUUUGAUUUAUCAACAAUGAAGACAAAAUUUUCUUGUUUUGCCUUUGAUAAGCAAAGAUCUCUCAUCAGAUCAUGCAUCUGAAUCGUUUUGACCUUUAAGGUUGCCACAUCUCUUUCUCGUACUUGAAUCAUGCACCUUUCUACAAGCUCCAUCAAAUAAGAUUCCGCUACAUCUUCCGCAAUUUCCCCACCGUCACUUUCUUCUUGCUUUGUUGACACAAUACCUUCAUCAACCGAUAAUUGAAUCAAUCUAUCCACAUCUAUCAUAUAAUCCUCCGGAAAAUGGCUUAGAUAGAGGAAACAUGGUCUUAGAUAGGGAGGCAAAUCAUCAUAACUUAUUGCUAACAUAUCCUCUGGUCCUUAAUUUUUGCCUCUCAUCAAGUAUAAUUUCACAUUGUCAGAUAUCUUUUGCCAUUCAUUUAAUGAAUUAUUCUUUGUAGCCAAAAUUCCUCCCAGUACAACAAUGGCUAAUGGAAGUCCUGCACAAUGUUUAACCAUGUUCUCUCCUAACUCUUUCAUUUCCACAUCGAUUAUAUUUCCUAUAUAAAAAAUUGGGAAUAAAUUUUUAAAGAAAAUAAUGAAUUAAUUUAAGUAGGUAAAAGAAAUGUAAAAGUAGAUGAAUCCAAACUUAUAUUUUAUUAAUUUAUCAAAUAAUUUUUAAUAUAAAUUCAUCACUUAUAAAAUUUAGUUUUUAUUAGGGUUAUUAACUACACUUAAAAAAAAUAAAUCUAUUUGAAAGCUUUGAAUUAUGGAAAAGUCAAUACUAAUUAAGAAACUUCACUGUAAUUAAUUUAAGAGGAGAUUCAAAUAAAUAAAUAUAUAAUUCAUUAUCCAAUUUGAAAUCUAAAAAACUAAAAAUGAUACAAAAAAAACAACAAAAAAAUUUCCAUAUCUUUUUAAGGGUUGUUUAGAAUAUAGUUCAUGCCUUAUGGUUUUAAGACUAAAUUUAAUACUCCAACAAAAAAAAAUUAAUAGAGGAAAAUACUUUUAAUGUGUAAAGAAUUAUAUAAAAAAGACUACUUAAUUUUAAAUUGGAUAUCCUAUUAGAUACAAAUGAGAUUAUAAAUAAGAGUCAAAAAAUUGUGUUGAGAGAAUUUGGAGAUAAAAUUAUAAGAUUUUACUUAUAUUGUACAAGUUAAGCAUACAAAACAAUUAAAUUAAUCUCAUUUUUUUUGGAUGAUUUCAGCGGGAUUUUCUAUUAUAAUUAUUGGGAAAUUAUUAAAGAGGAUGUUUUGGAAUCUAUUAAGAGUUUUUUGUUUUAGGGAUGGAAAAUUUUCGAUGAGUUUAAAUGAGAGUGAGAUAAUUUUAAUUCUUAACACUAAAUGUUUUGAAUUAAUUACAUAAUUUAGACCAAUUAGUCUUUGUAAUUUUGCCUAUAAAAUCAUAUUGAAAAUCAUGGUGAAUAUAUUGAAAGGAGUUCUAGGGGUAGUGAUUAUGAAUAAUCAAAGUGCUUUUGUCGUAGGUAGACAAAUAUAUGAUAACAUCUUAAUUGCCCAAGAGGUUUCCAUCAUUUGAAAUUGAAGAAGAGGGGUAAGAAAAAUGAGGUUGCUUGGAAGCUCGACAUGAAUAAUGUGUAUGACAAAGUAGAGUGGAGAUUUCUGGAAUCUAUUUUAAGAGAAAUGGGAUUUGCUUUAACAUGGAUUGAUUGGUUAAUCGUGUGUGUGAGGAGUGUUUCUUACACUUUGCUUAUUAAUGGUGAAUCUAGUAGAAAAAUCUAUCAAUCUAGAGGUCUAAGGCAAGGUCACACUCUAUCACCUUAAUUACCUCUUCCUUUUUGUUGUGAAUGUCAUCUCUAGUAUGAUUAUUAAGAGAGUCUGAGUCUAGUUUUAUUUCUGGGAUUAGCCUUGGUAGUCAUUAUCCAGUAGUGUCACAUCUGUUAUUCGCGAACGAUCUCUAUUCUUUUUGGAAGCUAGUUCGUUAAAUUGUAAGAGAAUGAUUAACUUGAUUCAAGAAUAUUGUGCAGCUUCUGGACGAAGGGUCCAGUAUGAUAAAUCAAGCAACGUUUUUAGUGUGAAUACUCCCGAAGGUUACUCAACGAAAGGUUGAUUCAAGAAGAGACUAACAUAGAGGUGGCCAAUAAUUCGGUCGUCUACUUGGGUGUCCCUUCUUUGUGGGGGCUUUCGAAAACAUUAACUUUGAGGCAUAUCAAAGAUAUGGUCCUUACUUUCAUCAAAAGAAAAUAAUAAUAAUAAUAAUAAUAAGGUCCUUACCAAACUUAAGGACUGGAAGCAGCAAACGUUAUCUUAAAAGGGAAGGGAGGUUCUUAUGAAAGCAGUAGCAUGCGCUUUAAUGUAUACGAUAUCUUUUCGAAUUUCCUAAAAAAUUAUGCGUCGAAAUGAAUUCAGCAGAAGGAAAAUGAGAGACGUAUUCAUUGAAAAGCUUGGAGGACUUGCUCUACUUGCAAAACAAUCUUGACAGUUAGUCCAGGAUCCUGAUGCUCUUUGGGCUAGGAUUUUAAAAGGUCUUUAUUUCCCGAAUUCUAAUUUCCUUGAAGCUAAAAAGGGAGCUAGGUCAUCAUGGUUGUGGAGUAGCAUUCUUGAAGGGAAAGAAUUUUUAAAAGGAGACUUUGAUUUGACAAGUGCUAAAUGGCGAAAGCAUCCGUAUUUGGGAAGAUAGAUGGUUGCUAGGAGUUAAAGAUAGGAAAUUAAAGCAUCCUGGAAAUAUUAACGGAUCCUCACCGACAAGAGUUGUUGAGAUCAUUUAUUUAGAAGAACUAAAUUGGGACUUACCCAGUAUCUCAAUGUGGUUAGAAGAUAUUGAAAUUGUGAAAUUAAAAGUUCCCCUUCAUGAAACAGAUGAACAAGAUAAAUUGGUGUGGCGGUUUACAGCUGUUGGUCAAUAUUCGAUGAAGUCAGGGUACAAGGAGUUGAGAAAGCACUAUGGAAAUGAGUCUUCUUUACAACCUUCCAGCUCUCACUUAAUUGAUUGGAGCACUUGGAAAGCUAUUUGGAGCUUACAGGUACCGAACAAAGUUAAAAUUUUCUUAUGGAAAUUGUGUCAUAAUGCUAUUCCAUCUCGUUUUAAUCUGUGGAAAAGAAAGUGUUUUUCGAACCCAAUAUGUUGUUUAUGUGGCAUUGAAGAUGAGAAUUUGAACAUAUUAUUCUUAGUUGUAAUUGGGUUAGGGGAAUAUAGCAUGAGGCUUGUUUUGGUCUUCAAGGGCUAAAUGAUCAAACUCAGUUCUCAAAGUUGUUACAAAUGCCUUGUACGAGGGAGGAUUUCAAAGUUGGAAUUGUUUUCACUUGCUGCUACAUUUGGAAAGCUAGGUGUGAGGUCACAAUUGGAGGUGUGAAACUUGGUUGGGAGAGAAUUAUUCGGAGGAUUAAUUGCUACAUGAAUGAUUUCUUAUCUGCUCAAUGGAUCCUCUGUUCAAACAAUAACUCUGAUCGAACUAGGAAGUCAAAAACUUGUGCUGAUGUUCGGGAGAAACCACCAGAAGGUUGGGUUAAAGUUAAUCGUGAUGGGGCAUUUGACACCUUAAUAGCUUGUGCUGGUAUUAGAGUAAUAGGCAGAAAUUUAAGUGGGAAGAUGCUGGAUGGGAUUGGUAAAAGGAUUAAGUGGAUUCAUGUGAGGUUGUCGAGGCUAAAGCUAUGGUUGGAUGGAUUGAAUUAGCUAUGAAGAACAAAUGGACCAAUUUCACAAUCAAGACUGACUCCCAGACUAUUGCUUCGGAUAUUAAGAAGAAGAGUCAAGAUCGAAGAUGGAGAUUAAGGCUAGUCCUUCAGGUUUUUGAUAAGCUGGUCAUGCAACUUUCUUCUUUGAAAGUCAAUGUUAUUAGAUGAGAAGCCAAUAGGUUAGCGGAUUGGUUUGCUAGAUAGGGUCGUAAAGAGAUGUGCUGGUUGUUCAAAUCAACUACCAUCUUUCUUGGGCUUUAUUCUUGAUAAGAAUGGUUUACCUGCGACUCCAUCUUUCUGAUGCAAGGAUCCAGGAAAAGCUUAGAGAAUACUGUGCUUUUUUCAUGUUAGUUUAUCUGGUUUAGUGUUUUAGACUUCCUAUGUUAGUUUAUUCUUUCUGGAAUGAAUGUUUUUGUGGCAAAAAAAAAAAAACCGAGAAUUGAUUAACUAUUAUUUUAAUUAAGUGAUGUUUGACUACUGAAUUUAAAUUAUAAAAUUUAUUUAAUAUAUUUCUUAAGAAAAAAACAUAUAAAAGAAUAGUAUGAAAGUGCUUAAGAAACUAAACAGAAUAUAUAGUACAAUAAUUAAGGUAAGAUAAUAACUUAUAUUAGGAUCAUCUUAAAAACUAAAAUGUUUAGGUAUCAAUAAAAUUGUCACAUCAUGGAUGACCAUUCUUACCACGUUAUUCAUGGUUUAUUUUCAAUUAUUUAAUAAUAUUUCAACGAUUUUUUCCAUGUCAUUGACACAUAAAUUUGAUAAUUUUUUUACCCUGAAUCCUGGAUCCAAAACAUAAAACCCCAAAUUCAUAACCCGGAAUCCUUGAACUUUAAAUUUCAAAUUCAAACCUUAAACUGCUAGAUUCGGGGUUCAAGGUUUAGAUUCAAGGUUCGGGGUUUUGAGUUCAAGAUAAAAUAAUUAUCAAAAUUAUGUGCCAAUAACAUGAAAAAUAUUGCACAAAAUUUUUUUUUUAAAAAAUUGGUUGCACAAAAAUAAAAAAUAUUAAUUUAUGAAAAAAACAAAAUGAUUAAAAUUUGUAAAAUAAGAAAAAAUGUUUGUUUAUAAUUUUACAAAUUAAUUAUUUUAAAUAAUUUAAUUAAAAUUAAAUUAAGUUGAAGAAAACAUUAGAUAUAAAUGAAGGUAUAAUAAUGCUAUCUUAAAAUAUUAACGAUGUGACACUAUUUUAUUGGUGUCUAAAAACUAUAUUUUUUAAAAUGAUCCUAAUAUAAUUUAUUCCCAAUAAGUAAUAAUGAAGUUAUUAAAAAAUCAUAAUAUAAAAGAUAAUGAAUUUACCUAUUAAUUAUAUUUACGUGCGUGUACCGAUAAACUACAAAGCCUUGAUUUCUUUUAUUUAUUUCAUAUUAAGGUUUUGAAAUUUUUAAAUAAAAUAGAUUUUAUAUAUUUUUUAAUUUUAAUUAUUGUCAAAAAAAUUCAAAAAUGAAAAAUAAAUUUAGCAUCUGACAAGAAUUUUGCUAUAUGUAUAUUUACCUGUUUGAGGAAAUACAAUCUUUUCAAACAAUUCCCAACUUUCUUGUUUGUUUAGACACCGCAACUCUGAAAUAAUAUACAUAAUUAUUUGCUAUAAAAGGAAUAAAAGUAUUAAAUUUUACCUAAUUAAGAAAAUUUUACCUCUUACUUCAGCAUAUGAAACUAUCCCCUUGUUUCGAGAGGUGAGCAAUAUCUUACUAUGGCUGUCCCUUGUAGCUGGAAAGGCAGGUUUUAGACUAUCCCAAGCUUCACUGGUCCAAAUAUCAUCAAGUAUCACCAGGCAUCUUUUAUCCUUCAAAAUGUUACACAACUUCUUUGCCAAUUUUUCAUCAUUUUCCUUCCUAUCCUCGUCAUUUAAAGUUUUGAAACCAGAUAGAAUGUCUUCCCAAACUUUUCUUUUCAAAAAUUGUUGAGAAACAUUUACAAAAGCCAAGUGAUCGAAAUAAUCAAUAACCUGACGAUGGUGAUAUAUUUUCUUGGCGAGAGUGGUCUUUCCCAGACCACCCAUGCCCCAUACUAUAACAACCUUGCAUCCACUUUCGUUCGUAAGAACUUUGACCAAUCCCUCGGUAUCAUCAACUAGUCCAACAAUAUUAUCAUCCAUAAUAUGUGGAUAAGGCCGCCUUGAUUCUCGUCUUUCAGUUGAAGAACUUGAUUCUUCUCCUCUGUCCUUUAAUUCCUUUACGCCGUAGGCCUGUAGUCGUCGGACUAAGUCGUUGAUUCUUUCUAUGAUUUUCUCGAUCUUUGACCUGGUUUCAUGGAGCACCCAUCCCUCUUUCAAACAGCAGGCUGAUCUUUUAAUACGACUCGGAAGGCCACCUUUGUUUUUGGAUCCAAUCUUGAGAGCAAAUUCCUCAACAAUAUCCUCAGCAUCAUAAGCAAGCUCUCUGAUUUCAGCAACCCAAAGACGAAUCCUCUCAUCCGUUGAUUGUUUUGUCUCUGCCACCAUUAAGGAGCUUUGCAUCCAUUUGAGCUCCGUUUGCAGACGAUCAACUUGCUCCUCCACGCCCCAUAGGUAUAUGGCUUCCUCAGUUAGCAGCUCGCCAAUUGUUGUCACUGCAGAUGUCACAGCAGAGAAAGCCAUAAUAGUGAGCGAGCUCAGAAAAUUCUUUAAAAUCUUGAAUUUGGAUUUCAAGAUGUGAGUGCCGCAAUCCUGCUAGGAAAACAAUUGCAAGAAGCAGUUCUUAAUUAUAAGAACAACUGCAAAUCAUUGCCCUUUUAUGCCUUUAGUAGUAAUAGUUAAAUUAAAUUUUAAAAAUAAUUUACAAAGCAACAUUAAUCAUCAAUAGAAUAAGAAUAAAAGCAAGAAAGGUAUAGUCAUAAUAGAAUGAGAAUACAAGCAAGAAAGGUAUGUUCGAAAUAGAAUGAGAAUACUCACAAGAAAGGUAUAUUCAUAAUCGAAUGAAAAUUAUUGCAUGUUGUUUUACCUAAUUUUUUUCAAAUUAAUAUCGUAGUUUACUUUCUUAUAUAUAAUUCUAAAUUUGUAUAUUAUUUAAAAACUAAAAAAAACUAUUAUUUUAAAAAGUAAUUAAGAAUUAAAUGCAUGUAACACAUAUGCAUUAGAAACUUGUACAUUUAAAUGUAAACAAAAAUCAAAAUUAUUUCUAAAAUUUAAAAUUGAUCAAAGAAUGGAGAAGGGAUGACUAAAUGUUAAACCAAAUAUUUUCAAAAUCAAACCAUUAUAUAAACCAAUAAUAAUAAAAUUUAUGAUUGAAUCGGUUCAAUAAAUUUAUAUUAUAUAACUCGAUAUUUUUAUUUUUAAUAUUUUAUAUGUAAAUAAACUGACCCUUAACAGAAUUAAUAUUUAUUUAUUAAAAAUAUAUUAAACGAUUAAAAAUAUUUUUUAAAUAAUAAAUGUUAAUUAAAUUAUUUAAUUCUCAAUAAUAUAAAGAUUAAACUGAUACGUUUAACAGGAGAAAAACUAAUUUAAAAAGGCCCCAAGAAUAGAUACUUUCACCUAUCAUCACUGGUCUUAUUUAACAGAAAAAUUAGGCAAAGACAGAGCAAUUUCGUUGUGAGAUGGAUUAAGAUAGGGUACAGUAUAAAAAUGGUCAUUAAAUUAUUAUUAAUUUUUUAAUUUAGUCAUUAAGUUUUUAGAAAUUAAAUAUUUUCAUCACUUCCUUAUUAGUUGCAAUUAGAUGAGUGACAAGAAAUUGAUAUGAGCUUUUUUUUAUUGGUUUAAUAACAAAUUUAGUCCCCUAAUGUCUAGACAUUCUAUCAAUUUGAUUCUAAAUAUAAAAUUUCUAAUAAAUUUAAUCCUCAAUAUUUACAAAAUUUCUCAUUUUAGUUCAAAUAUUCUUAAAAAUAAAAAUAAAUCUAAGCCUCAAAAUUUUUGAAAUUUAUCAAUUUAAUUUUAAUUCUAAAUUUAGCCUUCAAUUUGAUAUCAGAUGAUAUAAUUAAAAAUAAUAACUCAAUCAAUAUUACAUAAUUAUUAAAAUAUAAUUAAUUUAAUAUUAUUAUCAAAAUAUAAUUAAUUUUUAUAAAAUUGGAUCUUAUAACAAACAAAAAUCAAACAUUCUAACUUGAUUUAAUAGAUAAGGUUAGAAAUUUUUAUUUAUUUAUUUAUGAACGUAAUAAGCAAUUAAAAAUUGAUUAUGCAAUGUUCAUCUUCUUCUUCCAAGCCCCCUAGCCCCCCACUCACAAGUCACAUAAUCACUUUUUUCUAUGUGGAUUAAAACACUUCCGUGUCUCCCCUUUGCUUUUCCUUCAUUUAACAAAAGAAAGGAGCUGAAAUUCAGAAAAUUUGAGUAGAAAAAGGGAAAAUUCAAAGCUUAAAACCCAAACCCUUUGUGGAGUUAUCAUUGACAGUGGGUUCAAUUCGGUGCUAUGUCAAGAGUUGCAGUGCGGUAUUGCUGCCUCAUUCGGUGGACCUGAGGUGUUGCAGCUUUGAUCCGAUGUGUCUGUUCCUGAUCUUAAGCCCAAUGAAGUUAUUGUUCGAGCCUGAGCUGUUUCUAUCAAUCCCCUUGACACCACCAGAGUAAGUUCCUCCUUUAUUGAGUUGAACCUUUUUUUUUUUUUACUGCAAUCGUAAAUUUUGUUUCUAAUUUGUUUCUUGGAGUGGAUUGUUCAGUUCCUGAGAAAGUGCGAGAAAAUGAAACGAGAUCCUUUUUGAAAAAUCAUUAAUGUAUUAGUUAUAUGAGUCAGUUUUAUCUCCUUGAUGCAUUUGAAGAAUUUCUUUUUUAAUUAAUUUAUUUGCUCGAUUUGUUUGAUUUGAUGUAAUUUGCUUAAUUUAUACUGUAUGGUGGUGGAGUUAAAAAAUUCUUUUUUGAGCAAUCGAAAUUAAAUUUAUGUUUUUACGAUAGUAAAAAUAUAAUUUCAUCAUUUUAAUAGAUUAUAUUUUUAUAAUUUUUAAAAUAUUAAAUUAAAAUUUUAUCAUUUUUUAAAGAGUCAAAAUAUAAUUUUAUUAUUACUAAUUUAAAACUUUAUAAAUUAUAAAAGAACUUAAAUUAAAAAUAUGCAUUUUAGAGGGCAUGAUGGAACCUGCGUCUCUUAAUGGGUCCGCCACUGCAUCUAUGGGUUGGGUUUUUUCAUUGUCAUCAAAAUGUGAAGAGAAAAGAAAAGAAUAUAAAAUGUUAGAUGAAGCUAGAUUUUCUUUUAUGUAACAUAAAUAUAUCUUUCCUUCUUCUAAAAUUUUUAGAAUUAAAAUUAAAAUUACAAAUUUUGAUAACUAAAUUUAUUCAAAUUUUUAAAAUUCGAACUAAAAUGAUAAAUUUUGUAAACAUUUAGAAUUAAAUAUGUUGAACAUUUUAUAUUUAAAAUUAAAUUAAUAGAAUGUGUAAACAUUGGAUAGUUAAAUUUUUUAUUAGACCAAUAAAAAAAGCCACAUCAACUUCCUAUCACUCAACUAACAAUAACUAAUGGGAGAGUGAUCAAAAUAUUUAAUUUCGAAAAAUUUAAUAACUAAAUCGAAAAAAUUAAUAAUUUAGUGAUUAAAAUAGAAUGAAAGCAAUAAUUUGGUGACCAUUUUUACCCCUUAAAAAUAUAUAAUGGUAAGGGCACUUGAAAAAGAACAAAAAUGAUAAGGUGAUGGAGCAUAUUUGGAAUAUUUUUUUUAAAGCGAGGAGUACAAAUAAAAUUACAAGUUGGCAGUUCUGUAAGGCUUCAGAAUUGGUAGUUACAAAGUUUAUUACAGGCUUGUUACUCGAGUAGUUGUAUCAAACUUUCAAUACGCACUGUUUUCAUUAAACAUCAAAACGUAUCGUUUCGUUAAACUCUCAUCCUCAAAAUGUGGCGGUCAACUAACUAAUUUUAAAUAACAAUAUUUUUCCAUAACAUUAUACUGCUCAUAAUUAACUCAUGAUUUGACCACCACCGACUUUUGGCCUUCCCAUCAAGUUCAUGCUUGACCACUUACUCCUUGAGGAUCAUGAGGUCUCUCUCUUAAUAUAUAUAUAUAGUUGGGUUUUUUAAACUAAAAUUGAAUAAAAAAAAUUAAAAAAGAAGUAAAGAAACAAGUAAAUUAUUUUAAAUAAACGAAAAAAGUUAUGCCCUUGUUUAUGGUUUCAGUUGACUUUUGUAGCAACAAAAGUGAAUAUAAAUAUAUAUAGAGAGAGAGUAUGGUUUCUUGAACUUGAAUUGAAUGAAGAAUUUAAAAAGAAGCAACAGUAGAAAAUGAGAAAAUGUAUGUAUUUAUUUAUGGUUUUGGCUUGCUUGUGUAACAAGAAAAGUGAAUAUAAAUACAUAUAUGUAGUAUGGUUUCUUGAACUUGAAUUAAAUGAAGAUCUAAAAAAUAACAAAGAAAUAAGAAAACCAUUUAAAAAAGGAGAAAAUUUUAUGCCUUUGUUUAUGGUUUCAGCUUGCUUGUGUAGCAAAAAAAAAACGAAUAUAAACAUAUAUAUUUAGUAUGGUUUCUUUAACUUGAAUUUAAUGAAGAAUUUUAAAAACAACAAAGAAUCAAGAAAACCAUUUAAAAAGGGAGAAAAAGGUAUGCCUUUGUUUAUGGUUUUGGCUUGCUAGUGUUGCAAGAAAAGUGAAUAUAUAUAUAUAUAUUAGUAUGGUUUCUUGAAUUUGAAUUAAAUUAAGAAUUUAAAAAGUGGGAAAGAAACAAGAAAACCAUUUAAAAAAGGCAAAAAAAGUAUUCCUUUAUUUAUGGUUUCGGAUUGCUUGUGUAACAAGAAAAGUGAAUAUAAACAAGGUAUGUGAUUCCUUCAUUGUUUCUUGUAGAUCGCACGGACCUUUAUGCACUUUUUAACACCAGCCGUUACCAAUAUUUAGAGGUUCAAGAUUUCAACUCUUUCUUUUAGUUAGAACCCUCUUUCUUUACUUAAAUAACACACCAUUAUUCCACUUCAUGUGUAUCUGUGUGUAUAUAACUUGGACUAGAACUUUCCAUCCAAAAUAGUCAUGCUAACAAAUAUCGCUGUGUUUGUGUGGUAUUUUACAACAUUCAAAUCUUAGCUAUUGAGAUUUUCUCACACCUUGAACUUCAAAUAGUUAGCUAGUUCUCUCUUACCAUAAUUUAAAUCAUAGACAUUUUAACGUCGAGUUUUAUAAUGAGAACAACAUGAUCAUAUUGAAUUUUAUAAAUCUUUUAACACCAUAUUUUAAGAUUUUCUCUCAUUUCGGCCUUACAUUUCAGGACUUGGACACCUUGACUUGCACACAUACUAUGUUCAAUCUUUUCAUCAAAUUUAAAUAACAUAAAAUUAGAAAAUGAAAUAAAUCAAAUAACAUAAUUAUUUCUUGAAUCAAUGUUUUCUUUUUAAAAUUUGAAACAAAUUGAAACCCAAAAAUAGAAGUUGUAAACUAAAAUUUCGAGACAAUUGAAAUAAGAUAAUUUGAUUUCGUUCUCGAAGUUUUGCAAAUGAGGGAUUCCAAUUUUAGAAUUAUUGAUAAAUAUCAUUUGUAUUAGUUAAGUGUAUUUGAAAUAUUCAAUCAACUAAGCUAACUGAAUUUAGAAUCUUCAAUUCCCUUGGACUCCUUUUCUUUUUCAGCUUAUUAUCAUCAAGAUAUUGUUGGUAGAUAUAAAAGCAAGUCCCUAAAGAAUGGAAUGCAACCAUUUAUUUCUUACUGAACUUUUGUUAGAUAAUGUAAUUUGGAAUUUCUAGAUUAUGUUCACUUGUUUAUUUUUUCUUUGAUUUAGUUUAUUGUAUUUAAUCUUCGAGAUAAAGAUAUUGUGGAUUAUAUGUGUUAAAUGAAAUUUGAUUUUCUGUUUUUUCUUUGGAAGUGUCAAGAUGAAAUGCGACUAUUGAACACAAUAUCAUAACAAAGAUUACUGAAUUAAGGAUUAAGAUAUUGAACGACCAAAAAAAUUUACGUUGAAUAUCAAUCGACUUACCCAAAAUGAGGAAAUAUGUUGAAAUGGGAAGUGUUUUAAGCAUAUGGAGCUGAAAUAAAUUCAUUGAAUGGAGCAUCCCAACAAUGUAUAUGAUACUUCAUCAACUACUAAUUCACCAUUAUUGAACCAUAUUGCACGAAUUUAAGGCCAGCAUUACAUUCAUUUUUUUAAAAAAAAAAAUAUCUAUAUAUGAAGAUAUAUAAUAUAGGUCAUCAACCUUUAAUUAAUGGAAAAGAAAGAUUAACAAAAAUGAUAAGGUGAGGAAGCGUAUUUGGAAUUCUUUUUUAAAGUGAGGAUUACAAAUAAAUUUUAUAACAAAAUUAUAAAUCUCUUCACGCUCAUUUUAAUAAACAGCCUACAUUAUUAUAGUUAAAUUUAAGGAUAAGUUUUGUAUUUUAAUUUAAUCAAUUUUAAUCUUUAUACUUUUCGAAUUUUGAAAUUUCAGUCUCGAUAUAAAUGGAAGUUGUUAAUCCAUUAAGUGGAAUUUUGGUGACUAAUAUGUGAAAAUAACAAGCUGACAUGACAUUACACAUAUAAUAAUAUAUUUGACAUGUUAUAUUUUGGAAAUAACAAAACAAAAACAAUUAUCGUUUGGUAACAAUUAAAAUUUUCAAAUUUGAAAAGUACAUGUAUUAAAAAUGACCAAAUUAAAGUAUAGAGGUCAAGUCCACAACUUUUGUAAAGUACAAUGACUAAUGGCAUAGUUUAACUUAUUAUUUUUUAUAUUACGAGGAAUGGUUUAUAAAAAAAUGAUUUUACAAAACAAAUCCCAAAGUUGUGGAUUUGAUCAAAUCUAGUGAAAAAAUUUUCGAGUUAAUGAGUCUUAUUUUAUCAUCUUUAACUUGAUUUGAAAUUUUCCUGAAUCAAGUUGAGUGAAAUGGAAUUUAAAUUGAGUUAAAUAAAUUUAUUCAAGUUAAAUUAAGAAAAUUAAACAUGUCAAAUUGAAAUAUUGUUAACAAUAUGACUCAAUUUCAAAUUAGCACAUAGAACCCCAACUCUUGGCCUACUGACAUUGGAUGAUCACCUCAACAACUUAGGUCGUGCGUUCAAAUCAUAAGGACAAAUGAUUUGUCGUAAUUUGAUAUGUCAAAUUACGCUUCCUUGUUAUACUUAAGGAGCUUGUUUUCAAGAAAAUUAGUGUAUUUUCUGUAGUUUAGAGUAAUUUUUAGAUUAUUUGAUUUAAUAAGUAUUUAAUGUGUUUUGUACUCAUUUUGAUACCCAAAUUGGUUAAAUGUGUCGUUUGGACCCUAACGAUUGAUUAAGUGCGGUAAGAACUCGACGAUGACCCAAAAUUGUGCAAAAACAUCAUAAAGGAAAGGGGUAUCAUGACACCACAACAUGGGCAUCUCGAUACCUCCCACAGGCCUAAAAUGAAGAUCACCUACAGUUGUAUCAUGAUAUCCUCCUUGGGUAUCACGACACCCAACUGCUAAGGAAGACCCCAUUUGAGAUUGUCGAUGAUAUUGCAAUAUCUUGGGUUGGAUAUUGUGAUAUCAUCGACAAUCUCAAAUUGGGUUUUCCUUAGCAGUUGGGUGUCGAUGAUAUCACAAUAUCCAACCCAAGUUAUUACGAUAUCAAUGUUGUAAGGGGACAAAAAAUGACAUCAGGGGUAAUCUUUGUCCCAUCGAAACAUCAACAAAAAAGACACUCAAAGGCAUUUUGGUCAAGAAAAAUGGGUCAAAAUAGAUACUAAAAGAAGCCAAAAAUUGGCUGAAGAGAGAAGAGGAGAAAAAUAAGAGGAAAAGAUAAAUCUGAUGUGGAAAAAAUGAAAGAAUAUGAUCAAGUUACAUGGUUUUUUUAUUUGAAUAUUAUAAAAAAAGUUAAAUAUUAAUAUAAUCGGUGUCUUUUAAAAUUAUUUUUCAUAAUAGGGUGUUUUAGGGUAUUUCGUUCUUCAUAGGUGACCACUAAUACUUGGAAUGCAAGGAAGCCUGUUGUUGUACCUCAGAACAUAUCUUGCUGAGCUUAGGAUCAGUUUGCCAAGAGUCUUGAACUUGUUUCAAAAAGUCAGACAUCAUGGAACAACCAGGAAGCUAAAGUAGCUGGCCUGACUGACUUAUUGAUUUCCUUGAAAGAGAAUCAACGAUUACAUUGUGAACUUCAUAGUCAUAGCCUAACUUUUUGGCCACCCACUUCUGUUGAAAAGGAGUGAUGACUUGUUUAUUUGACAAGAUUCUCAGGCUUUAGUGAUCAGUGCGGAUUUUGAAGUGCCUACCAAGUAGGUAGGGGCUCCAUUUCUUAACUACAAGAAGCACAACCAACAUUUCCUUGUCAUAUAUAGAUAGUGCUUAGAGUUUAACCCCAAGAGCCUUACUGAAAAAGGCAAUAGGCCUACCACCUUGAUGCGAAACAACACUUAUCCGAUAACCACAAGCAUCAAUAUCAAUAUAAAAUUCUAAAUUCAGGGAGAGAAAGAACAGGAGCAUUGCAUAUUGCCUGUUUCAGAUGUUUGAAGGCCUCACCAACUUGAUCAUUUCGUCCCCACUCAUUCUUCUUAAGUAAGUCAACCAAGGGUUUUGCCAAGGUGCCAUAAUUCUUGACAAAUCUUCGAUGGUACUCUGAAAGCCUCAAAAGGCCUCUCAAUUUUUUUUACUAACUUGGGAACAGGCCAUUAAGCCACACACUCUACCUUAGAACAAUCUAUAGCCAUUGCCCCUUUAGAAAUGGCAUGGCCUAGGUACUUAAUCCCUGAAGUGCCAAAGCUACACUUACUUUUCUUGGCAAUCCUCUACAACUUCAAAACCUCUCGAAGAAGUGAUAAAUGGUCAGACCAAGAUAUCACUAAAGCAAACAACGACUGACUUCCCCUAUAGUGGUUUAAACACAACAUUCAUCAAUGCUUGAAAACUUGAAGGAGCAUUCGUAAGACCAAAGGGCAUAAUUAAGAAUUCAUAAUGGACUUCAUGUGAAGGUUUUUUUUAUAAAUACCGGAUCUCCAUAUUCGAAUUUGGUGAUAGUUAGAUCUUAAGUCUAAAACAGCCUGACCAAGUUUAUCCAACAACUCAUCUAUAACAGGAAUGAGAAAUUUGUUUUUAAUGGUGAGUUGGUUAAGUUGUUUAUAAUCAACACAACCCAUCCUUUUUCUUAACCAUAUAGGUGAAGCAAACGAGCUAUUACUGUCUCUGAUGAUCCCUGCUUGCAACUUCUCUUAGAUCAACUUUUCCAUUUCAUUUUUUUUGAACAGCUGUUGAAGUCAACCCCCAUGCAGCAGCCAAGGUGACCAUGCAAGGUGGCCAUGCAGGGAUCGUGCUUUAAUAGCAAACCGAAACUGCAUUGUUUCAUUUGGUUACUCAAAUGAACAUUUUGUGUUCUAGUUCAUGUUAAACUAAGUAGGUAAAUGUUUUGAUAUUGAUUGACUGAAAAGUCAGCAAUGCAAGUUGUACAAGCUAAUCUUGUAAGUUUCAAUGCAAAUUAGUGGAGUUAGGUAGUUGAUUAGGUGAUUACUUGUUUGUUUUACUUGUUGACUGAUAUAUGUAAUGGCUUAAUGCCUUGUUGAUGUGUUAAUGAAAGAAAUCAGCUCAUUUUUCAUUCAAUCUUCUUCUCUCUUUUCUGUUUUUCACUAGCUAGUUGCAUUAUUCUGUUUCUGCUUCCGAGUUUGCUUCUUCACCAAGGCUCGAGGCUUGCUAUUCAAGCAAGACACAAAACAGCUUGUUGCUGCCUCUUGCACCAACAAUUGGUAUCAAGAGCUCUUGUCUUAGUGGACCUGUUGCUUCAAAUCAAGGAACUUGAUGGCUUCUUCAGGAUUUUCACCAGCAGCCCCACCAGUCUUCAAUGGAGAAGGCUUUCACAUAUGGCUGGUCAAGAUGAAGACUUACCUACAGGCCUUCGAUCUGUGGGAAGUUGUUAACACAGAUACUGAGCCAGCACCACUGAGGGCUAAUCCCACAGUAGCUCAGAUCAGACAACAUGCUGAUGAGAGGACCAAAAGGCACAAAGCCAUGUCCUGUAUUCAGAACUGUGUAUCAGAUGUCAUCUUUACCAGAAUUAUGGCCUGUGAGACUCCAAAACAGGCCUGGGACAAGCUUAAGGAGGAGUUUCAAGGUACUGAGAGAACAAGGUAACAGCAGCUGUUGAACUUGAGAAGGGAUUUCGAGAAUUUGAAGAUGAAGGAAGAAGAAACAGUGAAGCAGUAUUCAGAUAGAAUUAUGGCAGUGGUUAACAGCAUAAGGCUCCUAGGUGAGCACUUUGAUGAGGCAAGAAUUGUGGAGAAAGUCCUCUCCACUUUGCCUGAGAGAUAUGAGGCCAAGAUAUCCUCCCUAGAGGACUCAAGAGACCUUGCUAGCAUCUCUUUGACUGAGUUAAUCAACACCUUCUAUGCUCAGGAACAAAGGAGAGCUAGCAGAGUUGAAGAUCACCAAGAAGGUGCAUUUCAAGCCAAGACUAGAGAAGCCUCGAGCACCAAUGCUCAAAGAGGCAAAAAGCCUUGGAAAAACAGGCCUAAGCCUGAUGCUGCAAGGAGCAAUGACCAGCCCUGCAGAUAUUGCAAGAAGCCUGGCCAUCCAGAAGACAGAUGCUGGUUUAGGCCAGAUGCAGUAUGCCAACACUGCAAGAAGAAGGGCCAUGUUGAAAGGGUCUGCAAAAACAGGAGUAAGCCAAGGCAGAAUCAAUUUCAGCAGUCAAAGGUUGAAGCUCGAGUAGCUGAGGACAGUAGUGACCAAGAAGAACAGGUCUUUGCUGUUUCCUGUUUAGCUGCUGAGAAGAAAUGCUCAAAAGGCUGGUUGCUGGACAGUGGUUGCACUAACCACAUGUCACCAGAUGCCUCUUUGUUUAAAACCUUGGACAGAAGUUAUAAAACCAAGGUCAAGGUUGGAAAUGGUCAGUUUAUAAGGGCUGAAGGAAGAGGAGAAGUGCUGAUAUGUACUCCCACAGGCAACAAGAUCAUUCCAAAUGUGCUGUUGGUGCCAGAGAUUGACAGAAAUCUUCUCAGCAUAGCUCAACUGCUCGAGAAAGGUUAUUCUGUUGUGUUCAAGGACAAACAAUGCCACAUUGCUGAUCCAAGUGGAUCAAGCCUUAUGACAGUCACAAUGACUGAUAAAUGCUUUGAGGUUCACUGGGCAAAUAACUCAAACUCAGCAUACACAACUUCUGUUGAUGACUUCAAGCUUUGGCAUCAAAGGCUUGGACAUGCCAACUUUAGAUCAAUGGCUCGAUUGGCCAAAGAGGGCAUGGUAGAAAACUUCACCAGCUCAGUGGAGCAUGAUGAUGUGUGUGAAGUUUGCCAAAUGGGGAAACAGGCAAGACUGCCAUUUCCUACAAAUUCAGCUUGGAGAGCUACUAAAAGACUGCAGCUGGUGCACUCUGAUGUAUGUGGCCCGAUGAGGACUGAAUCACUCAGCAAAAACAGGUAUUUCAUCCUCUUUAUUGAUGACCUUACAAGGUUUUGCUGGAUUUUCUUUUUAAAACACAAGUCUAAGGUAGCUCAAGUGUUUGUGAAGUUUAAAAAUGCUGUGGAAACAGAAACAGGUUGCAAGCUGAAAUCGAUAAGGACUGACAAUGGCACUGAGUAUACUUCAGCUCAGUUUCAAGCCAUUUGCAAUGAUGCUGGUAUCAAACAUCAGCUUACAAAUGUGUACACACCUCAGCAGAAUGGGGUAGCUGAAAGAAAGAAUAGAAGUCUGAUGGAUAUGGCCAGAUGUCUUCUGUUUGAAAAGAAACUGCCCAAGACCAUGUGGGCUGAGGCAGUAAACACUGCUGUUUACCUUCAGAACAGGCUUCCUACUAAAGCUCUUGCAUCCGAGACACCUUUCGAGGCUUGGUUCAGCUUCAAGCCUUCUUUGGCACAUCUGAAGGUGUUUGGUUGCCUGUGUUAUGCACAGAUACCAGCAGCAAAGAGAGACAAGCUCUCCAAAAGGGCUCAACCAGGUGUUCUAGUAGGCUACAGCUCAGUCAAAAAGGGCUACAGGAUUUUGGAUCCCUUGACAAACAAAGUCCAAGUGAGCAGAGAUGUCAUCUUUGAUGAAAAAGCCUGCUGGAAUUGGGAGAAAAAUGAGCCAGAAACAUUUUUAGAAGACCUAGUGCCUAAUCAAGCUGAACUUGAGCAGCUAGGACCUGAAAUGGAUGUUGAUGAUGUGCCUGUGAGAGGCACAAGGCUCCUAGAAGAUAUUAAUGAAAGGGCACAGGUUGCAAUAGCAGAACCUAGCAGUUUUGAAGAGGCUGAGGCAGAUGAAGGUUGGAAACAAGCUAUGGUUGAUGAAAUCAACAUGAUUGUAAAGAAUCAGACAUGGGAGUUGGUUGAAAAGCCUGCCAACAGAAAGACUAUCGGUGUAAAAUGGGUCUAUCGAGUGAAGCACAAUGCGGAUGGAAGUUUAAAUAAGCUAAAGGCCAGACUAGUUGUAAAGGGUUUCAGUCAAAGGUAUGGUCUGGACUACAUGGAAACAUUUGCUCCAGUAGCCAGACUCGAUACAAUCAGAUUACUGAUUGCAGUUGCUGCUCAGAACCAGUGGACAAUCCACCAAAUGGAUGUCAAGUCUGCAUUCCUCAAUGGAUUCCUAGAAGAGGAGAUAUACAUCGAGCAACCCCCAGGUUUUAUAAUGCCUGGUAAGGAACAUUUGGUGUAUAGGCUAAGAAAGGCCUUGUAUGGCCUAAAACAGGCCCCUCGAGCCUGGUAUGCUCGAAUUGACUCAUACUUGGUCAGUUUGGGAUUUGAAAGGAGUGCUAGUGAGCCAACACUCUAUGUUAAGAGGAAUGGAGCUGAAACACAGCUUAUUGUGUCACUAUAUGUUGAUGAUCUUCUAGUGACUGGAGGAGACAAGCUUGUGAUGGCUGAUUUCAAAGCAAAAAUGAAAGAAAUGUUCGAGAUGUCAGAUUUGGGGUUGAUGACUUAUUUCCUUGGAAUAGAGAUACAACAAGCUGAUCAAGGAAUCUUUUUGGGACAAAAGGCGUUUGCUUUGAAAGUUUUAUCCAAGUUUUCAAUGCAAAAUUGCAAGCCAACAUGCACACCUAUGGCAGUUGGCAUAAAACUAUCGAGCCAAGAAGAACACGAGCCUGUCAAUGAAUCAUUUUAUAGGAGCCUUGUUGGUUGUUUGCUGUAUUUAACAGCAACAAGACUGGACAUUCUGUUUGCUGUGAGCAUGCUAUCAAGGUUCAUGCACUGCUGUAACCAGCAACAUUACAAGGCUGGGAAAAGGGUGCUAAGAUACAUCAAAGGUACCUUAAACCAUGGAAUACAGUUUAGAAAGACUGAAGAGUUGAAACUGAUUGGCUACACUGAUAGCGAUUGGGCUGGUUCAAAGGAUGACAUGAAGAGCACUUCUGGCUAUGCUUUUACUCUUGGCUCAGCUAUGAUUUGUUGGAGCUCAAGAAAACAAACAAUGGUGGCUCAAUCGACAGCAGAAGCAGAGUAUGUAGCAGCUGCUAAUGCUGUUAAUCAAGCUAUGUGGCUGAGAAAAAUUUUGGGUGAUUUGAAUCUACAGCAGAAUAAUGCAACUGUGAUACAUUGUGACAACAAGUCAGCAGUUGCUAUUGCUAAAAACCCUGUCUUCCAUGGCAGGACAAAACAUUUCAACAUCAAACUCCAUGUGAUAAGAGAAAUGGAACAAGCUCGAGAGAUCAAGCUAAUUCAUUGCAGCUCAGAAGAUCAAAUCGCUGAUAUCUUCACAAAAUCACUUGGUGCAUCGAGAUUUGUAAACCUAAGGAAGCAACUAGGAGUCUGCUGCAUAGAAGCUGAGGAGGAGUGUUGAAGUCAACCCCCAUGCAGCAGCCAAGGUGACCAUGCAAGGUGGCCAUGCAGGGAUCGUGCUUUAACAGCAAACCGAAACUGCAUUGUUUCAUUUGGUUACUCAAAUGAACAUUUUGUGUUCUAGUUCAUGUUAAACUAAGUAGGUAAAUGUUUUGAUAUUGAUUGACUGAAAAGUCAGCAAUGCAAGUUGUACAAGCUAAUCUUGUAAGUUUCAAUGCAAAUUAGUGGAGUUAGGUAGUUGAUUAGGUGAUUACUUGUUUGUUUUACUUGUUGACUGAUAUAUGUAAUGGCUUAAUGCCUUAUUGAUGUGUUAAUGAAAGAAAUCAGCUCAUUUUUCAUUCAAUCUUCUUCUCUCUUUUCUGUUUUUCACUAGCUAGUUGCAUUAUUCUGUUUCUGCUUUCGAGUUUGCUUCUUCACCAAGGCUCGAGGCUUGCUAUUCAAGCAAGACACAAAACAGCUUGUUGCUGCCUCUUGCACCAACAACAGCAGGGUACCUAUAAGGUUUAAUUUUCACCACCUGACCCUCAUCUUUUAGAGGAAUCUUAUUGUCCUGUAAGCGAGGAGGGGGUAAGCCACUUGGUUCCUAAGAAACAUCAGCAAAUUCAUCCAGACGUCUUUGCAAAUCUGGUAGAGGGACACUAGAAGCUGCUGACAAGAUGGUGUGAUCCUGAGUUGCCAUAACAAGAGCACAGGACCCCAACUCCCAACCCACAACAGAAAAGCAUUUGGAAGAUUAUUUGGCAGUCAAAAGUUGAAUGGCACCAGGCAUGAUCCCUUAGAGGACUCAGGAACUUCCAUAAUAGAGGAACAGCAUAGUCAAUGUAGUAAAAUUCCAAACAAUUGACCCUAGAGAUAAUAACCAUUGGAUGCCCAAAACUAGAUCACACCCUUUCAAUGGAAGCACCAUGAAAUCAGUAGCAAACGGAAGGGAUCGAUGCUGAUGCUGUUAGCUUUAAUAUCUUGAUUUCAGGUCUUAGGAAACAAGUUAGAAUUGAAGAAGGUGUGAAGCUGUUGGAAAUUAUGAAAAAGAAAGGGUGUUAUCCCAAUGCAGGGUCUUAUCAAGAGGUUUUCUAUGGUUUACUUGAUGCUGCAAGGUUUAUGGAAGCAAAGGAGAUGAUGGGGAGAAUGGUUUAAUUGAUAUCCUUCACAAAAUGGCAUAUCUGCUCAUUUCCGAUGCCAGUUUCCAUUAUGGCUGAGAACUAGUAGUAACAAAGUCUGUUACAGGUUUGUUACUCGAGCAGUUGUAAGAAACCCUCAAUAUGCACCGUUUUCAUUAAACAUUAAAAUGUAUCAUUUCAUUAAACCCUCAGCCCUAAACGCAACGAUCAACUAACUUUAACUAACAUUUUUAUUUCAUAACAUGAAAUUACUCAUAAUCAACUCAUGAAUCGAUCACCAUCGACUCGUGGUCUUUGAGGAUGACGAGGUCUCACAAUCUCUCUCUUAAUAUAAAAAGUAGCCAAAAACAAGAAAACUAUUUUUAAAAAAAAGUAUGCCUUUGUUUAUGUUCUCAGCUUGCUUGUGUAGCAAGAAAAGUGAAUAUAAACAAUAUAUGUGAUUCCUCCAAGUGAAUAUAAACAAUAUAUGUGAUUCCUCCAUUGUUAGUUGUAGAUAAUAGUGGAUCUUUAUUCACUUUUAACACUAGAUGUUACUCAAUAUUUAAAGGUUCAAGAUUUCUAACUUUUUUCUUUUAGUUAGACCCCUUUUUCUUGACUUAAAUAACACACCAUUAACCCACUUUCUUCAUGUGUAUCCGUGUGUGUGCCUGUAUAUAUAUAUAACUUGGACUGGAAGAACUUUUCAUCCUUUAGGUUCUCAAGAGGUUGAUGACUUCCCGUUCGGCGCAACAUGGCUGACUUGGGCCUAUCUAUCUCAACAUUGAAAGACAAGGAUCAUUUCGGAUGUUACCUAGUGGUGCUAGAUAUAUUAAUUUAUUUAGCUUCUAAAAUUGUUAUUUUAGAAAUUUUUUAAUUUUUUAAAAUUUUCUUUAUAUAUUUUUUAGAAUUUUUUUUUGAGAUUUUUUUAAAAAAAAUAUAAAUUUUGGAAUUUUUAUAAAUAUUUUAAAUUUUAAAAAUUAUUUUGUUUUUUAAUUAUUUUUAAUUAUUUUGUAUUUUUUUUUGAGGGAGACCAAUAUGCUCAUUUUCAAACUUGACAGGGACCAAAAUGGUAUUUACACCAAUCUAUUAUUCGAAUUAUUUGAGUUAUUCAAAUUGUAAAAUUCUACUCGAUUCGAACUCGAAACUCAAAUUACUUAUUCUAGUUGACUGGAAUAAUUCAAAUAACUCGAUUCGAUUAACUCGAAAUUCAAUUUUUUUUCGAUUUUUUCAAAUCAAAUCGAAUUUUACUUACCACUACCCAAAAUAAUCAUUCUAACAAAUGUGGCUGUAAUUUUGUAUAGUAUUUUGCAACAUUCAUAUCUUUGCUACUGAGAUUUUAUCACGCCUUGAACUACAAAUAGUUGGCUAUUAUUCUCUCGUAUCCUAAUCCGAAUGACAUAAGAUAUUUUAUACAUUUUAUCAUUGAGUUUUAUAAUGGAAAGAAUUUUAUAAAUUUUUAACGUUGGGUUUUACAAUAUUUCUCUCAUGUCGACUUUAUAUCUAAAGAUUUGGACAUCUCCACGUGCACACAUACUAUGUUCAAUUUUUUCGUUGAAUCCGAAUUACAUUUCAAGGGAAAGAUAAGUCCAAAUAAAAGUUAUAAACUAAAAUUUCAAGAGAAUUGAAAUAAGAUAAUUUAAUUUUAUACUUUAAAUUUAUUGAGUAAAUAUCAUUUGAAUUAAUUAAUUGGAUUUGAAAUUUUCAAUCCAUUAAUCUAAGCAUGGAUUUGGAAUCUUCGAUUCCCUUGAAUUCUUUUUUUUUAUUUUUAAGUUUAUUAUCAUCAAGAUAUUGUUGGUAGAUAUAAAAAGCAAAUGUUCCAAAGAACGAGAACAUGGCGAACCAACUCAGUUAAAUCUCGAAUUUGGAAUCUUUGAUUUCCUUAGAUUCCUUUUAUAAAGCAUAGCUUGCUAAACCAUCAAAUGUUGAUAAAAUUUUUCUUUCUUUCUUUUUGUUCGAUAAAUUUGGAACUUCUAGAUUAUAUUUAUCUUGUGGUUUGAUUUCUUCUAUUUAAUUUUACAAAUAAAGAUAUCGUGGAUUACAUGUAUUGACAUGUUAUUAGUUGGUAAGAUUUAAUUUUUCCUAUUUUUUGCUUUGGAAGUGUAGGAAUGAAGUGCAACCAUUGUACUUGAUAUCGUAAUAAAGAUUAUUGAGUUAAGGAUUAGCAUACUGAAUGAUGGAAAAUAUUACGUUGAAUACCAAUCGACUUAUACAAAAUGAGGAAAUAUGUUGAUACAGGGAAUGUGUCCAACAUACAUAUAUUCAGUUUUUUCUAAAAUAUGUAUAUAUUAAGGACAUCAUAUUCUCUUAUCUUGUAUCCAUAUCCAAAUAAAUAUCAAACAUUAAAUAAUAUUUAAGGAAAAUGAAGAGUAGAAAUGACCAUAUACAACAAUGUGAUGAAUUUUACAAGAGAAAAUCAUGAUCUUGCCUUGGCUUCUAAAUUACAUUAAGUACAUGAUAAUAAAAAGAGAAAGACUUGAGCAAACUUAAGUAGAGAAAAAAAGAAGAAAGCACCGCAAACCAAACAAAUAAAAACAAGGCUAUGUCGGAACAAAGGUCAGUGACGUCUCCUUAUCUGCAAUUUUAUGUUUUAAAAGACAAAAAUUAAUUUGUAAUUAAAUUAGAUUGAAGGAAAUUGAAAUGGAGGAGGGGUUUCGUACCUUGUUAAUCCAGACACCUCCCUUUCUUCCAAUACCAUAUCUUGCAACCGUUUUAUUGUAACUUGAAGAAAACAACAAACAGUCAACCUGUCUGAUUUCAACAACCAUAGAUAUAUACAAGAGAGAAGAUAAUUCCAAAUCUCACCAUAUAACACACUUUCACAUGCCACUUAUAAUAGGAGUUUUAAAUAUUGAUGUGAUCCCGUAAAUAGCAGUAGCAGGUGAAAAAAUGGCGUUUUUACCUGAAAAGCAAAACUAAAAAUAUCAAUGUCUGACUUCCUUUCACUUUUAAUAAAUGUAAUUAUUCAUUGGUGUGUUGACAAAUUGAGUGAGAAUUUGAGACAUUGUCAAAAACGAAAGAUAUAUAAGAAGCAAACAAAGUAGGAAACAUUUCCUAAACUAGAGGUUAUGAAAUUACCUCUCAAUUAUCAUUCAAUCUAUUUGUACCUCACAGUCUUUGAAUAUGAUAGAAGGAACAUGUUUGACUUUGUAGAAAUCUUCUCCUCCUUCCUCCAAUAUAUCUUUGAAUGCCUUUGGCAUUGAUUCAAUCUUCAGUUCUUUGAGGGUUGUAAUGAACCUCAAUCCCUCUGGAAGCAUCUUCAAGUUGAGGCAAUUCCAAAUCUCCAACCGCUGAAGAGAAGGCAUGGCUCCUUCAUCCACCUUCCACUCCUCCAAAUUGUUGAACCACGCAAGACUUAGAGACUCAAGUCGAGGAAAACCCUGUGCAGAGCAAACCAUUUCAUUUACUCUGAAAGUUUCUUCGAAUUCAAGAAUCCUUAAGUUAGGCAGCUUCUCUAGUGUUGGCAUUGGAUCUUCAUCAAGCGGGCAACAUUCCAACCGUAUGUAAGCGAGAUGUGAAGAGAAGUAGCGAUACUCUGGUAACUUACUUAUCUCUGCAUUUAUACUCAACUUGCAAAUACUUGUACAACUUGAAAGGAGGUGGGCCAAAUGUCUUGGAUCUAUUGAAUCGGUUAAAAUAAAUAAGGAAUGAAAAUAUUUACUUCCGAUUAUGGGUGGAUUCUCGCCCAACUCCUCCUCAUUGAAAUUUUCAAUAUUGAAGGCCCCUUUUAUCACCAACUCUCUAAGAUUUGUCAUGUUGAUAAGAUCCUUCAGAUAACAAUUCUCGGUGUUGAAGUUCACAAGUGUUAGGAGUUUUCUCAAAGUACCCAACUUCAACUUAGUUCUUCUUUUACAUCUCGAAGGGAGAUAUAAAUGUCUUAGUUGCUCCAUCCUCCAUAUCACAUUAGGUACAUGAAUUUUGUAAUUAUAAACUCUUAAAUCCAAGGUUUGCAAGCACCUUAAGUUGCCUAGAGAUGAUGGCAACUUUGACCGUAGGAUGUCAUGAUUCCUUAGACUCAAGAAUCUUAAAUGGAUGAGAUUCCCUAUAUCACUG